CUGUAAUUCUAGCACUUUGAGAAACUGAGAUGGGUGGAUCACUUAAGGUCAGGAGUUUGAGAUCAGCCUGGCCAACAUGUGAAAUCCUGUCUCCACUAAAAAUAGAAAAAUUAGCUGGGUGUGGUGGCAGGAGCCUGUGAUCCCAGUUACUUGGGAGGUUGAGGCACAAGAAUCACUUGAACCUGGGAGGCAGAGGUCGAAGUGAGCCAAGAUCUCACCAAUCAAUGCACUCCAGCCUGGGUGAUGACCGACACUCUGUUAAAAAAAAAAAAAAAAAAAAAAGGAGCCUGGGCCAGACUUGGUGCCUCAUGCCUGUAACCUCAGCAUCACUUUGGGAGACCGAGGUAGGUGGAUCACUUGAGGUCAUGAGUUCAAAGCCAGCCUGGCCAACAUGGUAAAACCCCAUCUCUACUAAAAAUACAAAAAUUAGCUGGGUGUGGUGGUGGGCUCCUGUGAUCCCAGCUACUGGGGAGGCCAAGGCCUGAGAGUCACUUGAACCUGGGAGGCAGAGGUAGCACGGAGCCAAGAUUGUGCCACUGCAUCCCAGCUUGGGUGACAGAGUGAGACUCCAUCUCAAAAAAUAAGCAAAUAAAAAGAGCCUAGCAUGUCCUCCUCUCUCUCUCUCACUCCCUCUUUCUCCCCAUGACAGCUCCCCUUCCCCUCCCACCAUGAUUGGAAGCUUUCUGAGGCCCUAUGCAGAAGGAGAUGUGGCACCAUGCUUCUCUCUACAGCCCGCAGAACUGAAGAUGCCUUCAUACAAAGGUCUCAGGGAAAAGCAUCGACACGCCUAUUGGAGGGGCUCUUCAUGUCCAGGAUGGCAGCAGGACCCAACCGAAGAGCCCGGCCAGGCAUCAGGAGCACAGGUGCCUUCCACUAACUAGAGUGUGCUGCCUGCUCCACACAUAGACACAGGUGCGUCUGGUUUUCUGGGUCUCUGCCGUCUCUUGCUGUCUGUGAGGCCAUCAUAGGAUUCUCAGGGCAGCAUGGGGUUAGUUAGUAGUGUGAGUCAAGUUAAU
rnacentral:lncRNA from 1 species